rnacentral:lncRNA from 1 species
GUAUUACCAUUUAAAAACUUAGCAGAAUAGAAAGGAAGAAAAUUCUACCCCAGUAUCAUCAUUAUUCAUGCUUCCUUCAAUAAUGACGAUUGUAAGGUCUAGAGCGGUGUUCCUAGAACCGUAGGCCACAAGACAGACUGCUGCUAUGGCAUCCCGCAACCACGAUCGUCCCUCUGCCGAGAGAUCAGUCAGCCAGCCACGUGGCAAGUUGGUAAGAAAACUUCCGUGUUCCCUUCUUUGAUGCCAGCAGAAAAUUCAAGCAACACAAGCCACUUCGCAUGCGAGGGAAGCCCACGGCCUCAGGCAGUGAACACAGUGGCCUCAGGCCUGGACGACUGUAAAAGCCCCAAGCCAGGGUCUUUCCCUGUUCGUUCAAACCAUUUUUGGACAAGCUUGGGAGACUUCUCCUGCCCUCCCCUGGAAACCUCGCUUGGAAAGUCUCCCACCACUGACUCAGCCAUAAAAUUCACUAAACAUCAGUUGUCCAAGCACUGUUGGUUAAAAAUUAUUUUUACAUUGUAUGUAAACUUGAAAAUUUAAGCAAAAAUGAGAGAGAGAGAGCGAGAGAGAGCAAGAGAGAGAGAGAGAAGAUAAUGUCUUCCAGAUGACGGCUUUCUGGAUGAAAUCUGAAGCCUGAAGCAAGAGAAAAUUUUCAUUACCAUUCAGAUUACAUGUCAUUUUGAUUCACACUCCCUAAGCAAGCUAAUUUGGUCGGCAGCCAACCUUCUCGCAGUGUGAUGACAACACAACAAGCUUCACCGCCUUCCUUUCAGCGCUAAUGACUCCUUGAGUGACAGCCAUGGUCUCAGAGCUCCGCGUGACCCCUCACCCUGCUGUGCCCGCAAUGUCAGAGCUGCUGCUGUCCUGGGCUCCUGCUCACGGUCCUGGCAAGGACAGCCUGUGACUUCAGGAACACGCCAGCCGCCGUCACCCCACCCACCUGCAUACCUAUACACACACAGGCGCCCCUGGUGCUCACCUCUCAACACUGCAUGUUGUCAGGACAGUAUCACCAGGAUGAAAUAAAUUGUGGUAGCAACUGGGUGCCUCUGAGGACCUCUUCCCUCUCCCCUCAGGGCAGGGGAGCUCACCCAGCUUCUCAGCAUGGACUCAUGCAAGCCAUGAAUUCUUUGUUGUGCUAUAAGCUAUUAUGUCAGGUCUGAAUGUCACCCUUUUUAAAAUUUAUUUUUAUUUUAAAUUUUCUUUUACUCUGUUUUGAAAACUAUCUUUGUCAAUAGAUAUAUUUUUUCUCAAAAAUCAAAAUAUUUUGUUGACUUGUUUGUUUUUAGAUUUAAGGUAGGCACACACCCUUAUCCCAAAGUCCUGCUACCUGAUAGUGUUUGGAGUUAUGAGAAGAACAGUGACCUUUGUUUCCAUUCUGGAAAGGAAUCUGUCAAUGCAUGUUUGGGGCGGGAACAUAAACACUAAGAUAUGAUGUGUACGGGGUGGACAUCUUGUUCAAAUUCCCUGUGGUAUUCCCAGUGAAAGAACGCCCACACAUGGGAGCAUUGCACAGCUAUUGGAUGAGGAAACAAAAGAACGAAGGUGACUAUCUCCUUGUGAACGUGGCUAUCUCAUUAUGAAUGUGACUGUUUCAUUUCUGGCUGGGAGUUACCGCACCAUUUGCAAAUUCGGAAAGCAUGCUUGUUGCUUGGUCUGUGACUCCUUCACCGAAGCCCUCUCCAUCCACUCACGGAGAUAGGAACCUUGACUUCAAAUAACGGAACAUCAAAAGGAGUUUUUACCCAGGCACUAGUUUUCUUGCUCUAACAUGCCCCAGUUUGUAUCUGAAUUCAGUUAUUCACUUAAGAGAAGGCUAAGGGUCCCAACAGCGUGGAAGUCACAGUGCUGGGAUACUGGCGGGAUACUGGCUACACAGGUGGGCCCAGGUGAGCAGGGUAGGCCUCUAGGGUUCUGGGAUUUUGCAUAUAAUCAAAGAUAUUGAAAAGCUCAUUAUGGUUUGAAGGUGUUAGGGCAGAGGAAGGUCUAAUCUGAAAUAUGAGAAAUUAAGUGUUGGUCAGAGAGGUAGGUGUGGAAGGCUGGAGUGGAGCCUGCCUCUUCCCAGAAGCUAUUCAUGGAAGACCCUCACUCCCAUGACCUUGUAGAGCAUCGGUUUCUCUGCAAUCGAAUUUGAGAUUCUGGGUAGCAAAGAACAUGGACAAAUACAUGAUUUAUUAAUGAAAAUAAUUCUACUCUUUUUCUAUACGUCAAUGUAUAUCAGUGACCUGGUGUAGGAAAUUAGAUGGGUAUGUAGUGAUAGAAAGCAAAAUCUAUUAAGAGGGUAUUGUUGGUCCAGUUUCUAAGAAGUUAAGACAUAUUUUAUGUAAAUAUUCUUUUUUACUCCCACCAUGGUGGUUUAGUAAUUAGUUCUCUAUUUUUCUCAUUUUUUAGGAUGAAUAUAUAAGAGGGGAUUGAGAUUGGGGAGGAGAAAAUGAUAGCUUUCCCAUUAGAAACGUUUUUCUUUGGCCAGGUGCAGUGGCUCAGGCCUGUAAUCUCAGCACUUUGGGAGGCCAAGAAAGGUGGAUCACUUGAGGUCAGGAGUUCAAGGCCAGCCUGGCCAAUAUGGUGAAAUUCCAUCUCUACUAAAAAAUACAAAAAUUAGCCAGGCAUGGUGGUGCAUGCCUGCAGUCCCAGCUAGUCGGGAGCCUGAGGCAGGAGAAUAAGUUGAACUCGGAAGGCAGAGGUUGCAGUGAGCCCAGAUCAUGCCACUGCACUGCAGCCUGGGUGACAGAGCGAGACUCUGUGUCAAAAAAAAAAAAAGUUUUUCUUUUUUAGAUGGAGUUUCACACUUGUCACCCAGGCUGUAAUGGCACGAUCUCGGUUCACUGCAAACUCCGCUUUCCAGGUCCAAGCAAUGAUUCAACCUCCCAAGUAGCUGGGAUUACAGGUGCCCGCCACAAUGCCCAGCUAAUUUUUUGUAAUUUUUGUAGACACAGGGUUUCACCGUGUUGGUGAGGCUGGUCUCGAACUCCUGACCUCAGGUGAUCCACCCGCCUUGGCCUCCCAAAGUGCUGGGAUUACAGGCCUGAGCCACUGCGCCCAGCCUCUUUUUUUUUCUUUUAGCUUAUGAGAAAAUGUGGGAAGACUAGUUUAUUUGGAAUCAAAAUAAUCAUAGCCAACCACUGAUCCACAAUUUAUUAGAUUGUUUAAAUUUUUACCCUUGCUAAAACUUUAUAUUCACAUCUGUAAAAUGGUAACAGCAAUAAUGCCUAUUUAUACAGAUGCUUUUAGGAUUACAGAAGCUGAUUUGAGCACUCAGUAUGUUAUUGAACGUUAAACACAAUUCAUUUUUGUCUUCAAAUCAUGUAAUGGUUCUGUCAUUACAUAGUUAAAGAAAGAUGUAUUGGAAUUAAAAUUAAGAAUCAUUUUCCUCAAGGUAUAUUUUAUUACAAUUUCCCCAAGGUGAAGCUAUUUAAAAAAUGUUUUUAAGUCAAAUGUUACAAUACAGAGGAGAAGAUCAGUGGGUGCAGAGAAGUCUGAACAUUGUGGACAUUAGACCUUUUAAUACAUCCCAAAUCUUGGUGUUUCCCAAAUGCAUCAAUAGUUUACAAGAGUUUGUGAGGGACAAGGGUAAUUAACUUGCAGGAUAAACACAUUUAUUUUGGUUCGGG